rnacentral:rRNA from 1 species
AGAGUUUGAUCAUGGCUCAGGACGAACGCUGGCGGCGCGCUUAAUACAUGCAAGUCGAACGGGAAGCGGGGCUUCGGCCCCGUGGAGAGUGGCGAACGGGUGCGUAACACGUGAGCAACCUGCCCCGGAGACCGGGAUAACUCGAGGAAACUCGAGCUAAUACCGGAUGUCCUCACCGAAUCGCAUGGUUUGGUGAGGAAAUGCCUUUGUGCUGUGGGAUGGGCUCGCGGCUUAUCAGCUAGUUGGUGGGGUAACGGCCUACCAAGGCGUCGACGAGUAGCUGGUCUGAGAGGACGAUCAGCCACACUGGAACUGAGACACGGUCCAGACUCCUACGGGAGGCAGCAGCAGGGAAUCUUGCGCAAUGGGCGAAAGCCUGACGCAGCAACGCCGCGUGGGGGAUGAAGGCCUUCGGGUUGUAAACCCCUUUCAGGAGGGAAGAAAUUGACGGUACCUCCAAAAGAAGGACCGGCCAACUACGUGCCAGCAGCCGCGGUAAU